rnacentral:misc_RNA from 1 species
ACUCGGAGAGCCGCCGGCGCGAGGACGGCUGCGCCGGUGGGACGGACUGUGUGGAGUGUCUGUGACGAGUGUCAAAUACAGAAAUGAUUUUGCAGGUACUGAGUGUACCAGUGAGCCGGAGGCGAGACGCCAGAACAGCAUAACUUACAGAACAAACGAAAUGAUCGAAGGGACCCUGGCUGUUGGUAUAAACGAGUAACUUCCCUUUGAUGUAGUCACACAGGGACUCUCAAAUCUGUAGCUCGAUAUUAUUAACCACUGAAUACCAAUACUUCCCUUGUGCUAGGAUCCAACCCGUGCCUAAAUCUUCCAUUUUUCUUUGCCAUGCUUAGCCUCCACAGUAUAGCAACAGAAAGCUGCCAGGAAAUCUAAUACAAAAGUGCCGCGAUGAAGACAACUGAAACGGAGGCUCGAUAGGCGCCCUAAUCCAAGGACUCCAGCCACAUCCGGAGGCCGGUGCCAGCUCACAGACAGCGGUCAGCAGAACUGCCAGCAUGUCCUUCAACACGGCUCUGCUGGAUUUCAGUGUUGCCCCUGAGGUCAUCACCAAUCCAGUGGAGAGCGCCACGCUGCACCAGCGGAUCGAGGCGACGGUGGGCGCGGCGGUGGCCGGCCUCACGCGGCUGAUCGAGGACCUGACGCCCAGCGGCGGCUUCCUGCUCAACUACUCAGCCGACGCUGAGACGUUCGUCACGCUGCGCGGCCACCCCAGCGGCCUCGUCUCGCUCCAGAUCGAGAACUACGGCGAGGCCUUCAUCAUGGACAAUCGGGCCGUGCUGCAGCUGGAAAAGGACAUCCGCGCCGAAAUCGGCGCCCGGCGCGGCAAGGCGAUCCUUCCUCUGAGACGCGGCAGGGACAUCGACCCCUUCUACUACACCUCUGAUGACCGGCUGGUGGAGUACGGCACGCUGGAGACGCUAUUCGACGAGGUCACGCCCUACCAGCACGUGCAGGUGGUGCGCACGCGCGACUUCGGCAACAUACUCGUCCUGGACGGCUUUCAUAACAUGUCGGAGAAGGACCUCGUCUACACGGAGACACUGAUGGCAGCUGAACAGUACGAGGGCAAGACAGCGCUGAUUCUGGGCGGCGGCGACGGUGGCCUGUUGUAUGAGCUGCUCAAGCACAACCCCAAGUUCGUCACCAUGGUGGAGAUUGAUGACGUGGUCAUCCAACAGUGCAGGAAGCACCUGCGCACUGUCUGCGGCGACUGCCUGGACAAGUACGACGGCGACAACUACAAGAUCAUCGUGGGCGACGCCUUCCAGUUCCUCAGGGACUGCCUGAAGGAGGGCCGCACGUUCGACUACAUCUUCUACGACCUGAGCGAUAUCCCGGUGUCGCCGAAGCACGACCGCAACCUGUGGAACAUGGUGCGGGACGUGCUGCAUGACAGCAUGGCGCUGCUGCCCGCUGGCGGCAAAUACAUGACGCACUGCCACGGUUUGUUCAAUUACCAGCCGACAAGUGGAAAAUACAUCAAGCUAUGGGUACAUUGGCAUUGGAAGGAGCAGUGAAUGUCGCCGAAACAGGGGUGGAGAGUCCCGCGGGGAACCUAACUGCGUGGAAGCAUUGCAAUGGCUAAAUGCCAAAACUGAUCUGAUUUGGAGGAAACUGGACGGAGCUGACGAUGUUUCGCGUCGACCUGCGUCUCUUCAUCACAUGGAUCUUCGCCACUUUUGAAAAAUGCUUUCAUCCCCAUGUUUCGCUUGGCAUUUUGUAUGGUGCGUUUUUCUUGGUACAUGAGAAGCCCGACUUAAAACGUUUAUUAAGGUCAUAUUUCACGG